ensembl:lncRNA
GUCAAGUGAGCAUGCAUUUGGAGUGCAGGAAGGAGCAGUGAGAAGUGAACUAUCAAUCAGUUUGUGUUUGGGCUGUCCAAGUAGCAUCUUUCUGUUUUCUGGGGGGACGUGGGCAUACUGGGCAGUGCUUCUGCUGCCUGCUGGUGUCUGUGAAAUCAACACACCAUCUGUUGUUGUAGGGACGGAGCCUGCGCGUCCAUGGAGUGGUGCUGGGCAAGGCUGGAAACGCAAAGCCUCCGCAGGUAAGAAGCUCUUGCGAGCUGUGCUGACUGCAGAAGCGGCAUAAUGUAGCAGCAGAAAGGCAAGCUGAAGAAACUGCUCUUGAAGACCAGAAGAUUGUGGUUGGCUAUGCUCAAAUCUUCCGCCACAGAGAUGCUCUUCAUGUCUUUCUUGUCUCCUUUCUGCCAGAAGCUGAUGCGAGCGGCCUUCCAGCAAAGCGCAGCCUUGCAGAAAGGCCAGGCAGAAGCGCCCAGUGUGGCACAGCACCAAAGAGAGGUACAGACACACAGCAGGCACCUGGGCUUGGUGCACUGUCUCUCUAGUGAAACUUUCUGUCCGUCCUUUCCUGGGACUGUGGACGUUGUGUGUUGGUUCUGGUCUUAAUCCCUGCAUUUACAUUUAGUAUUCCUGUGCUGCUUAGAAAUGUGACCCCACAGUUCAGCCGAGAUCCUAUGAUCCAUGACCGUGAGCACUCGAGAUGAGAUGUCCCAGGAUUGUGACCCGUUUUGCUGACUGAAAGUAGUGGCGGGCUCUCAUUAAAUCUCCUUGUUUUUGCUUUCUUAACAGAGAUUGGUGCUGAGCCAAAUGACAAAAUCUAUGUCAAAGUGGUCCAGCAGGUCCAUACUGAGAGAGCUUCUCAACAGGCAGCAGCUCAAGCUCCUCUGCACGCUGG